rnacentral:rRNA from 1 species
UACGUAGGGUGCAAGCGUUAAUCGGAAUUACUGGGCGUAAAGCGUGCGCAGGCGGUUCGUUAAGACAGAUGUGAAAUCCCCGGGCUUAACCUGGGAACUGCAUUUGUGACUGGCUGACUCGAGUAUGGCAGAGGGGGGUAGAAUUCCACGUGUAGCAGUGAAAUGCGUAGAGAUGUGGAGGAAUACCGAUGGCGAAGGCAGCCCCCUGGGCCAAUACUGACGCUCAUGCACGAAAGCGUGGGGAGCAAACAGG